rnacentral:rRNA from 1 species
UACGUAGGGUGCGAGCGUUGUCCGGAAUUAUUGGGCGUAAAGAGCUCGUAGGCGGUUUGUUGCGUCGGCUGUGAAAUCCCGAGGCUCAACCUCGGGUCUGCAGUCGAUACGAGCAAACUAGAGUGUUGCAGGGGAGACUGGAAUUCCUGGUGUAGCGGUGAAAUGCGCAGACAUCAGGAGGAACACCGGUGGCGAAGGCGGGUCUCUGGGCAACAACUGACGCUGAGGAGCGAAAGCGUGGGGAGCGAACAGG